AACGAACGCUGGCGGCAUGCCUAACACAUGCAAGUCGAACGAGACAUUCGGUUCUAGUGGCGCACGGGUGCGUAACGCGUGGGAACCUGCCCUUAGGUUCGGAAUAACUCCCCGAAAGGGGUGCUAAUGCAGGAUAAUGUCUUCGGACCAAAGAAUUAUCGCCUUUGGAUGGGCCCGCAUUGGAUUAGCUAGUUGGUAGAGUAAAAGCCUACCAAGUAGACGAUCCAUAGCUGGUCUGAGAGAAUGAUCAACUACACUGGGACUGAGACACGGUCGAGACUCUUGCGCUAGGCAUGAGUGAGUAAAACUGCAAACGGGGCGAAAGCCUUAUGCAGCAUCUCCUAGUGAGUGAUCAAGGCCGUGUAGUUCUAAUGUUGUUUUACAUGGGACGAUAAUGACAGUACCGAGAGAAUAAGCUCCGGCUAACUCCGUG
rnacentral:rRNA from 1 species